UAGCGAAAUUCCUUGUCGGGUAAGUUCCGACCCGCACGAAAGGCGUAAUGAUUUGAGCGCUGUCUCGACAAUGCAUCCGGUGAAAUUGAAGUACCAGUGAAGAUGCUGGUUACCCGCGCCAGGACGGAAAGACCCCAUGGAGCUUUACUCCAGUUUGAUACUGGGAUUCGGUACUGCAUGUACAGGAUAGGUGGGAGACGGAGAAGGAUGGACGCCAGUCUGUCCGGAGUCGCUGUUGGGAUACCACCCCUGUAGUACUGGGUUUCUAACCAGUUGCCAUGAACUGGCAAUGGGACAAUGUCAGGCGGGGAGUUUGACUGGGGCGGUCGCCUCCGAAAGGGUAUCGGAGGCGCUCAAAGGUUCCCUCAGAAUGGUUGGAAACCAUUCGAAGAGUGCAAAGGCAGAAGGGAGCUUGACUGCGACACCGACGGGUGGAGCAGGUACGAAAGUAGGACUUAGUGAUCCGGUGGUAUAAAGUGGGAUUGCCAUCGCUCAACGGAUAAAAGCUACCCUGGGGAUAACAGGCUUAUCACUCCCAAGAGUUCACAUCGACGGAGUGGUUUGGCACCUCGAUGUCGGCUCAUCGCAUCCUGGGGCUGUAGUAGGUCCCAAGGGUUGGGCUGUUCGCCCAUUAAAGCGGUACGCGAGCUGGGUUCAGAACGUCGUGAGACAGUUCGGUCCCUAUCCGGCGUGGGCGUAGGAUAUCUGAGAGGAGCUGUCCUUAGUACGAGAGGACCGGGAUGGACUGACCGCUGGUGGACCGGUUGGCUUGCCAAAGCCAUGGCCGGGUAGCCAAGUCCGGAAGGGAUAAACGCUGAAGGCAUCUAAGCGUGAAGCCCCCCUCAAGAUGAGAUAUCCCAUUCGAAAGAAGUAAGACCCCUUGAAGACGACGAGGUAGAUAGGGCAGAGGUGGAAGUGCCGUAAGGCAUGGAGCUGACUGUUACUAAUCGGUCGAGGGCUUGACCUA
rnacentral:rRNA from 1 species